rnacentral:rRNA from 1 species
UGAGGAAUACAUCGGAAUCUACUUUUUCGUGGGGGAUAACGUAGGGAAACUUACGCUAAUACCGCAUACGACCUACGGGUGAAAGCAGGGGAUCUUCGGACCUUGCGCGAUUGAAUGAGCCGAUGUCGGAUUAGCUAGUUGGCGGGGUAAAGGCCCACCAAGGCGACGAUCCGUAGCUGGUCUGAGAGGAUGAUCAGCCACACUGGAACUGAGACACGGUCCAGACUCCUACGGGAGGCAGCAGUGGGGAAUAUUGGACAAUGGGCGCAAGCCUGAUCCAGCCAUACCGCGUGGGUGAAGAAGGCCUUCGGGUUGUAAAGCCCUUUUGUUGGGAAAGAAAUCCAGCCGGCUAAUACCUGGUUGGGAUGACAGUACCCAAAGAAUAAGCACCGGCUAACUUCGUGCCAGCAGCCGCGGUAAUACGAAGGGUGCAAGCGUUACUCGGAAUUACUGGGCGUAAAGCGUGCGUAGGUGGUUGUUUAAGUCUGUUGUGAAAGCCCUGGG